AGGCUGACUGCUGCCUUUGUCCCUGCAGGAGAUGAGCGUGGGCUAUGCAAAUGGGAUCCGGGUGAUGAGCAUGACGCACACAGGAGAGCCAGGAUUCAUGCUCUACAUCCCCAUAGAGGGGAAUGAGAUGCUCUUUCAUAAAUGAUACCAAGUGCAAGAGAACUUAAGGCAGCUCCAAUCGAAGACUGUCUUGGCUGCUUCUGGAAACUACAGAUCACUACUCCCGAAGUCAAAAACGACUAGAACACAGCUUAAAAAUCAAGCCAUUUAAUUGUAUCUUUGAAGGUAAACAAUAUAUGGAGCUGGAUCACAACCCCUGAGGAUGCCAGAGCUAUGGGUCCAGAACAUGGUGUGGUAUUAUCAACAGAGUUCAGAAGGGUCUGAACUCUACGUGUUACCAGAGAACAUAAUGCAAUUCAUGCAUUCCACUUAGCAAUUUUGUAAAAUACCAGAAACAGACCCCAAGAGUCUUUCAAGAUGAGGAAAAUUCAACUCCUGGUUUUAGAGAUAAAUGAAUGAAGAGUACCAAAAUAUUUGUUGACUUCUCUUCAUUUUUCUCAUACAAUCUGAAGCCUGAGCUGACUAUCAUAUCCCCAACUCACAGCAGCGAAAGCUGCAGUUCAGAUUUGAGAUCAGUCUCCAUUCACUUCCACGUAGCACCACAGCAAGAGUGACCGGAGGCAGAGAGCUCUUGUUGGGUCAGCUUUCUAAUAAGCAUGUCAAGUGAAAAAGAACCCUCUAGCAGCACACUGAUUUAG
rnacentral:lncRNA from 1 species